AUAGUAACCAGCUUGUCUGGUAUUAGAACUUGCGGAUGUGGGUUCUAAUGAGAAUUAGGUUGUAGCUCCAGCGUUAGGAAAAAUAGCUAAUCUUGAGAGGUUUUUCUAUUGCGACAAUAGGGAUUCCAUAAAAAAGAAUAAAGAGGGUAUUUCCUAGGAUUUAAAUAGAUACCUAUAUUCGAAAUCUUUCCAAAAAUGAGAAAGACUAACGGGGUUAGUUAAAUUAACAAUUUUAUGUGUAGUAAAAUUAAUAAUUAUUUUUAGAUAUCCCAGAAGAGCAGAAAAAUUGAGUAAAAACGGAAAAAUGGUUUUUCAAUUUAAGUUAACCAAUUUGGCUCUGUCAUUUUUAAAGUAAAUUAGGAAGUAAGGUCAGAGGUUAAUUUUUUGAUAACUAAUACGAUGGAAACGUGCCAGUUUUAUGGUGCCGAGAA
rnacentral:rRNA from 1 species